AAGACCGCCUCGUUUCCCUCUUUUUCGGAGUCGUUUUUUUGGGUCGCUGCAUGGAAUCCACUCCGUUGUACUGUUUGUAUGCCAGAACACAUGAUCCGCGUCGCGAAAAACAUAUUCUUGGUCGUACUGAUGGUGAGUUGACGCUGAUCUUAUAUUCAGUAGUUCUUCUCGACUGUAUGUAAUGAAACCUAAGAUGACCUGGGGUACUAAUGUAAGAAAUAACACGUAAAAAAACAAAAAACUGCAUAGUUUCCUAGGAACUAGGCGAGGUGGCCAUCUCUGUCGGCGCCGGAAGAUGAUGACAUUCUAUAGUGAGUGAUGCAUGUGGAUACAUUUUUUUUGCAUGUGGCUACAUUUUUUUUCUGUAAAUCAUUUUCAGAACGCAAUCACAUUAUGUUGGACAGCUUUAUUGCUUUCUCCAUGUUUUUGAAAUGUAUAAGCAUUUAAAUGACCUUUUACAGACUACUUCUACAAACGAGGCUACACUUGUGGCAGCACCUAUUCCUUUGGCACCCCAUCUUCUGCACUUCUUGUCGCCCCCCUCCACCUAUACCACUUUCUGUGGCCCCUCCACCAUUCCCCGAGGCUUAUCGUCCACCUUCACCACACUUUUCUGUUGGUGUUGGUGAUGACAAUGAGUAAGUCAUCCCUGUAAAUAAUGAAAUGUCUUGUUAUUACAGAUGAAUUGUGGGAAGUAUCUGAGCUUUGUUAUUCUGAAUGUCUCUUUUAGUGUUGACCUCCAAACACUGCUGAAGUUAAUGAGAUGCCAACCAAAUGAAUGUGAUGAUGGACAAUGUUUAUGAUUGCGCAAUGAGAGGCUUUAAGAGAGCCCACUUUAAUCCGGAAGCAAAGGUAUACAUGGUUUUUAGGGAUGCUGACGGAAAAGGGGCAGCUGAUGAGGGUGGUCCCUCAAGAGAAUUUCUCUGGCUGCUAAUGAGUGCCAUCCAUUCCUCUGCAAUAUUUGAGGGACCUGAUUGACAAAAAUGCCUUUCUUGAAACUCUCAAGCAACAUGGGGGUGUAGAGACACAUUUUUUCAGAGAGGCUAUACAGGCAAGUGUGUGGCCUACAACCUCCUGUGCCAGAACUGAAAUAAUUUGCAGAAUAUGACUUCAGACAGAAGUUGGAGAAGUUCAAUAAACAAUCUAAGAUCCAGUUAGCACAAACUGUUGACGAGGCACAGGAAGUGGUCAUGUUGGGUCCAGUGCGAUACAUUCGUACAUUGGAGAGGGAUGCCCUGGUGGAGUCAGCCACAAAGUUCUACUUAGAAAGCAGGAUACGGGAUGCUCUUGAGCAAUUCAAAGAGGGUCUGGAGUGUCUAGGUCUCCUGUCUUACAUGAAUAGACACUCAAGCCUCUUCAGAGAGGUUUUCAUCUAUGCUGAGAAACCUCUUUUGGCCAAAGACAUAGCUUCUCUCUUCCACGCAGAGCGCUCCCCACCUGGUACCAAUCAAAGUUUUCAAAAACAUUACAAACAACCAGAAUCAAUUGGACACAGUAAUACAUGAUGCAGCUUUAAUAUUUAAAUAAAUGUAUGAUUUCUUAGUGGGUAAUAAAGGUAAAUAAAGAGCAAUA
ensembl:lncRNA